rnacentral:rRNA from 1 species
UCCAAAAGGGGAAAACCCGACGGGGCAAUACCCCGUGAGGGAAGAAAGCCUAUGGGGUUUAAACCUUUUUUUUCUGGGAGGAAAAAAUUGACGUGUACCUGAAGAAUAAGCAUCGGCUAACUCCGUGCCAGCAGCCGCGGUAAUACAGGGGAUGCAAGCGUUAUCCGGAAUUAUUGGGCGUAAAGCGUCCUGAGGUGGCUUACCCAGUCGACUGUGAAAGCUCAAGGCUUAACCUUGAAACGGCAGUCGAAACUUGUAAGCUUGAGUACGGUAGGGGCAGAGGGAAUUCCCGGAGGAGAGGUGAAAUUCGUAGAUAUCGGGAGGAAGGCCAAAGGCGAAAGCACUCUGCUGGGCCGAUUACUUUCUUUUUCAGACCAAAGCUA